UACGUAGGGUGCGAGCGUUAAUCGGAAUUACUGGGCGUAAAGCGUGCGCAGGCGGUUUUGCAAGUCGGGUGUGAAAUCCCCGGGCUCAACCUGGGAAUGGCAUUCGGGACUGCAAGGCUGGAGUGCGGCAGAGGAGACUGGAAUUCCUGGUGUAGCAGUGAAAUGCGUAGAUAUCAGGAGGAAUACCGAUGGCGAAGGCAGGUCUCUGGGCUGACACUGACGCUCAUGCACGAAAGCGUGGGGAGCAAACAGG
rnacentral:rRNA from 1 species